UGGAAUCGGCCGCCGCCGCUCCUUGCGCAACGUCAUCCUUGCUCCUCCGUGUCGGGUUGCUCGUGGAGUAGGGGGGGAUCGGAGCUCCGGGGGCAUUCAGCGCCAGCACCACAUGUCUAUGAAGGGGAAGGUCGGCCGCCGCUGCUCUCCCCCCGCCGCCACUACCGGUGUUCCCAUGACGAGGUGGUCGUGACAUGGAGGAGGUUGAGUGGGGGGUCGCGGGCCUCGAUGAGUAGUAGAACCUAGACGAUGAAGAAGAACAGGGACAAAGGUUGGACGAGGUUGGCGGCGGAGGGUUUACUCGAG
rnacentral:lncRNA from 1 species